rnacentral:rRNA from 1 species
CAGCCGCCGCGGUAAUACGUAGGGGGCAAGCGUUAUCCGGAAUAACUGGGCGUAAAGGGUGCGCAGGUGGUUUAACAAGUUAGUGGUGAAAGGCAUAGGCUCAACCAAUGUAAGCCAUUAAAACUGUUUAACUUGAGUGCAGGAGAGGAAAGUGGAAUUCCUAGUGUAGCGGUGAAAUGCGUAGAUAUUGGGAGGAGCACCAGUGGCGAAGGCGGCUUUCUGGACUGCAACUGACGCUGCGGCUCGAAAGCCAGGGGAGCGAACGGGAUUAGAUACCCCUGUAGUCCCUGUCUCUUAUACC